AUACUUACCUGGCAGGGGAGAUACCAUGAUCACAAAGGUGGUUUUCCCAGGGCAAAGCUUAUCCGUUGCACUCCAGAUGUGCUGACCCCUGUGAUUUCCCCCAAUGUGGGAAACUUGACUGCAUAAUUUGUGGUUGUGGGGGACUGUGUUCACACUUUCCUCUG
rnacentral:snRNA from 1 species